rnacentral:tRNA from 1 species
GGGGAAUUAGCUCAAGUGGUGGAGCGCUCGCUAAGCAUAUGAGAGGUACAGGGAUCGAUACCCUGAUUCUCCA